UACGAAGGGGGCUAGCGUUGCUCGGAAUGACUGGGCGUAAAGGGCGCGUAGGCGGCUCAUACAGUCAGGCGUGAAAUUCCUGGGCUCAACCUGGGGACUGCGCUUGAGACGUGUGGGCUUGAGUGGGGAAGAGGGUCGUGGAAUUCCCAGUGUAGAGGUGAAAUUCGUAGAUAUUGGGAAGAACACCGGGUGGCGAAGGCGGCGACCUGGUCCUUGACUGACGCUGAGGCGACGAAAGCGUGGGGAGCAAACAGG
rnacentral:rRNA from 1 species